rnacentral:rRNA from 1 species
GAUGAACGCUAGCGGCAGGCCUAAUACAUGCAAGUCGGACGGGAUUGGAGAGCUUGCUGUCCAUGAGAGUGGAGCACGGGUGCGUAAUACGUAUGUAACCUACCUUGUUCAGGGGGAUAGCCUCUCGAAAGAGAGAUUAAGACCGCAUAACAUUGCGCUGUUGCAUCACACUGUAAUCAAAUAUUUAUAGGAACAAGAUGGGCAUGCGGAACAUUAGCUAGUGAGUAAGGUAACGGCUUACCAAGGCUACGAUGUUUAGGGGAUGUGAGAGGAUGACCCCCCACACUGGUACUGAGACACGGACCAGACUCCUACGGGAGGCAGCAGUAAGGAAUAUUGGUCAAUGGGCGGAAGCCUGAACCAGCCAUGCCGCGUGCAGGAAGACGGCCCUAUGGGUUGUAAACUGCUUUUGCAGGGGAAUAAACCUUGGUACGUGUACCAAGCUGAAUGUACUCUGAGAAUAAGGAUCGGCUAACUCCGUGCCAGCAGCCGCGGUAA